CGUAGGUGGCAAGCGUUGUCCGGAAUUAUUGGGCGUAAAGCGCGCGCAGGCGGGAUGAUAAGUCUGCCGUAAAAGUUCGGGGCUCAACCCCGUAAGGUCGGUGGAAACUGUCAUUCUUGAGUGCAGGAGAGGAAAGUGGAAUUCCCAGUGUAGCGGUGAAAUGCGUAGAUAUUGGGAGGAACACCAGUGGCGAAGGCGACUUUCUGGACUGUGUCUGACGCUGAGGCGCGAAAGCCAGGGGAGUGAACGGGAUUAGAUACCCCGGUAAUCCUGGCUGUAAACGAUGGGUACUAGGUGUUGGGGGUAUCGACCCCUCCAGUGCCGGAGUUAACGCAAUAAGUACCCCGCCUGGGGAGUACGGCCGCAAGGUUG
rnacentral:rRNA from 1 species